CCCUCUUCCUUCUCUCUCGAUUCUCCUCGAUCAGACGCCGUUUGGCCACACGCUUCGACUCAUCUAACACCACUGAUAGGCAGGAUAGGGAACAGAUGCGCUGCUAAACUAAUAUCACCUCCAACAUGAAACGAGACAAUGUUGGAGUAAGAUGGAUGGAGAUUUUUCUGGAUGGUCCUGCGGAAGAAACCCUGGGGAAAGGAAAGGAGGACAAAGAAAAAAAACAGCGAUUGAGGGACAUUUGCAACUCUAUAUCCUUGAAAUGAAAUCCACUAAUUAAAUGUUCUUAUGUUUUGAUUAGCGUAAAACAAGCGCAUUAAAUGGGUCACAUUACACGGCAGGCUUGUGAAUGUGUGACAGGACCCUGCUUACCAAGAAGUAAUGAAGUGAUGGCAUGACUGAAUGUCUCUCAGUAACUGCUUUUAUACAAGAUCACUGUGGAGCAGUUUGUUUAGCAUCACACUGCUGAAGUGGCAUACAAAGACAUGAUUUUGAGCAAAGAAGUAUCAGGGAGGCAGGUGAAAAGUUGCUCUGCUAUUUGGCAAAAUAGUAUAUACCAUUGCAAUAACACUUGUAGUUUUGUGUAUGCCUUGAGGGAAAACACAAAUUAUUCAUGCUAUUCAGCACCACACUGGGAUUUCAAUAUCCCUCCUUUCCCAUGUGGGUACAGCAGGAUGGUACAAGAAUAGCUGAGGCCAUUUUUAGAGACCAUGGAUAGGCUGCUCUACGGGACACCAUUCAUUGGAUAACAGACCUCUGCUCAACGGAUACUAACACCCACACUUGCCAUCAAGAGGCUUCCUGCCAUAACAUUACAGUGUAGUAUGAAUUAAUGUUUAAAAGGAAAAUAAUAUAAUGUUACCCCUGCUGCCUCUCUUUGAGUCACAUUUGUGAUUACAGUGCCCAGCUAUUGUAGGAAAUGACUAAACCUUUUUUGAAUUUAAACUAUUGUGGGGCACAAUGAGAGUGAAUGGCAGGAACAUCAAUCGGGUAAACUUCUGUUCUCUCCUCUCCAAGUUUGAUGUCAGCAAAUGACAGUAUUGUCAAGUUGAUGAGCUAGCUUGCAGUGCAACUCUUUCUAAUCUGUCAGUUUCGCUAGCCUAGCUGGGGUAGUACAUCUCUUGGUCUGUGUGUGUUUUGUUUGCUUGCCCGCCACUCUCAGGGCUGUGUUCUGUGACUUUGUCAAAAGUGAGGGUGAAAUACAGCUAUUUAG